CCCUGUGAAGGCAAGCAGAUCCCAAAAAUAACGUCUCAGUUCGGAUUGUAGUCUGCAACUCGACUACAUGAAGCUGGAAUCGCUAGUAAUCGCGAAUCAGCAUGUCGCGGUGAAUACGUUCCCGGGUCUUGUACACACCGCCCGUCACACCAUGGGAGUCGGAAAUGCCCGAAGCCAGUGACCCAACCAUAAGGAGGGAGCUGUCGAAGGUGGAGCCGGUGACUGGGGUGAAGUCGUAACAAGGUAGC
rnacentral:rRNA from 1 species